UACCAGCACCCCGAGUGGUCGGGACGUUUAUUGGGCCUAAAGCAUCCGUAGCCGGUUCUACAAGUCUUCCGUUAAAUCCAACUGCUUAACAGGUGGGCUGCGGAAGAUACUAUAGAGCUAGGAGGCGGGAGAGGCAAGCGGUACUCGAUGGGUAGGGGUAAAAUCCGUUGAUCCAUUGAAGACCACCAGUGGCGAAGGCGGCUUGCCAGAACGCGCUCGACGGUGAGGGAUGAAAGCUGGGGGAGCAACCAGG
rnacentral:rRNA from 1 species